rnacentral:rRNA from 1 species
AUAACGACUCUCGGCAACAGAUAUCUA